rnacentral:rRNA from 1 species
GAGGGGUGCAAACGUUAUUCGGAUUUACUGGGUGUAAAGGGUGUGUAGACGGCUUGUUAAGUUCGUUGUUAAAUCUUCCGGGCCUAACCGGGAAGCUCGCGAUGGAAACUGGCAGGCUUGAGGGUGAGAGAGAGAAGUGGAAUUCUCGGAGUAGCGGUAAAAUGCGUAGAUCUCGAGAGGAACACCGAUGGCGAAGGCAGCUUCUUGGCUCACUCCUGACGUUGAGACACGAAAGCGUGGGGAGCAAACAGGAUUAGAUACCCUGGUAGUCCACGCUGUAAACGAUGAUCACUGGAUGUCGGCUUUGCUUUGCAAGGUCGGUAUCGUAGCUAACGCGUUAAGUGAUCCACCUGGGAACUACGGUCGCAAGAUUA